AUGAUACGUAGCCGACCUGAGAGGGUAAUCGGCCACAUUGGGACUGAGACACGGCCCAAACUCCUACGGGAGGCAGCAGUAGGGAAUCUUCCACAAUGGACGAAAGUCUGAUGGAGCAACGCCGCGUGAGUGAUGAAGGGUUUCGGCUCGUAAAACUCUGUUGUUGGAGAAGAACAGGUGUCAGAGUAACUGUUGACAUCUUGACGGUAUCCAACCAGAAAGCCACGGCUAACUACGUGCCAGCAGCCGCGGUAAUACGUAGGUGGCAAGCGUUGUCCGGAUUUAUUGGGCGUAAAGCGAGCGCAGGCGGUUUUUUAGGUCUGAUGUGAAAGCGUUCGGCUUAACCGGAGAAGUGCAUCGGAAACCGGGAGACUUGAGUGCAGAAGAGGACAGUGAACUCCAUGUGUAGCGGUGAAAUGCGUAGAUAUAUGGAAGAACACCAGUGGCGAAGGCGGCUGUCUGGUCUGUAACUGACGCUGAGGCUCGAAAGCAUGGGUAGCGAACAG
rnacentral:rRNA from 2 species